rnacentral:rRNA from 1 species
GGACAAGCGAAUAAGUGCACAUGGUGGAUGCCUUGGCGAUUACAGGCGAUGAAGGACGUUGUAGCUUGCGAUAAGCUGCGGGGAGUGAGCAAACACACUUUGAUCCGCAGAUUUCCGAAUGGGGAAACCCGGCCUUUUAGGUCAUCUCAUACUGAAUACAUAGGUAUGUGAAGCGAACGCGGCGAACUGAAACAUCUAAGUAGCUGCAGGAAAAGAAAUCAACCGAGAUUCCCAAAGUAGUGGCGAGCGAAAUGGGAUGAGCCGUUACGUGAUAGUCGGACUGAUAGUGGAAGCCUUUGGAAACAGGCGCCAUAGCGGGUGAUAGCCCCGUACACGAAAUCAGACCGGUGGUACUAAGCGUAAGACAAGUAGGGCGGGACACGUGAAAUCCUGUCUGAAGAUGGGGGGACCAUCCUCCAAGGCUAAAUACUCGUAAUCGACCGAUAGUGAACCAGUACCGUGAGGGAAAGGCGAAAAGAACCCCGGGAGGGGAGUGAAAUAGAACCUGAAACCGUGUGCAUACAAACAGUCGGAGCCUCUUUAUGGGGUGACGGCGUACCUUUUGUAUAAUGGGUCAGCGACUUACAUUCAGUGGCGAGGUUAACCAGAUAGGGGAGCCGUAGAGAAAUCGAGUCCGAACAGGGCGACAGUCGCUGGGUGUAGACCCGAAACCAGAUGAUCUAUCCAUGGCCAGGAUGAAGGUGCGGUAACACGCCCUGGAGGUCCGAACCCACUAGUGUUGAAAAACUAGGGGAUGAGCUGUGGAUAGGGGUGAAAGGCUAAACAAAUCUGGAAAUAGCUGGUUCUCUCCGAAAACUAUUUAGGUAGUGCCUCAAGUAUCACCAUCGGGGGUAGAGCACUGUCAUGGCUAGGGGGUCAUUGCGACUUACCAAACCAUUGCAAACUCCGAAUACCGAUGAGUGCGAGCUUGGGAGACAGACGUCGGGUGCUAACGUCCGGCGUCAAGAGGGAAACAACCCAGACCGCCAGCUAAGGUCCCAAAGAUUGGCUAAGUGGAAAACGAAGUGGGAAGGCUAAAACAGUCAGGAUGUUGGCUUAGAAGCAGCCAUCAUUUAAAGAAAGCGUAAUAGCUCACUGAUCGAGUCGUCCUGCGCGGAAGAUGUAACGGGGCUAAGCCAGUCACCGAAGCUGCGGAUAUCCG